CGACGAAUCCACCCCCCUCCCCCUCCCCCCUCCCUGCACGUGCCUUUACCACAGAGCAACGAUCAAGCUUAAAGGCAAAGUCAGUGAGUGACUUUGGUCUGUCAAAGUGACUGAAAGAGGCCGUGAGAAGAUCAAUCAUGCCACCACCAAAGGAUGCAGAGAUCGAGCAGGUUGCAAAGGUUUGGCUUUGGAAUGCACGGGACCGUUCAGGUGGACGGUUUAAUUUACAGGUAGCACAGUUCGCAAAAAUAUAUAUUGGAACUGAACAAGAAAAAUAAAUAUUAGGCCAAUGACUUCUAACAGGACCACUGCAGCUCAUAGCUUCAAAAUCACUGUCAUAGGAACUAGUUAGUCUAAACUUAGGUGGACCAUCCCUACAACAGCUUGUGGACACAACUCCACACACAUUAAAAUUCUAACAUCAGCCAAAUGUUUUUAGACUCAAGUUAACAGAUGGAAAAUAAGUUUACAAAGGAUAUAGAGGAAAUGCACUGACUGCAUCAUACUCAUCAGAGUUUUGGAGGAACUGAACUCUCUACUUAAUAACUAAAAUAAAAAGGGGGUGUUUUAUGCUC